AUGAAGGGUGCGCAGACGCUCCUCGCCUUCAAGAGCAGCGGCGCGUACGUCAUCAACACGUACAAUCUCACCGGGUACCGCCCGCUCAGCGCGGCGUCCACGCCGAUCACGUUCGAGGCCACCGAGCUCGCCGCCGACGAGGGCGCCGAUGGGAAGGUGCGGCUCUACAGCACGCUGCAGCUGCCCAAGGGCAUGGAGGCCGUGAACCACAUCUGGCAGGUAGGGUCGACGGUGGCCAAUGGGGUGCCGGCCAAGCACGCGUUCGCGCAGGAGAACCUGGAGGCGAAGGGCAGUCUCGUGCUCACCGGUGCCGGAGCGACGGAGGCCGCGCCAGCUCCGGUGUUUAUCUCUCACGACUAUCUCGAUUAA
rnacentral:rRNA from 1 species